rnacentral:rRNA from 1 species
GCAGCAGUGAGGAAUAUUGGUCAAUGGUCGUAAGACUGAACCAGCCAAGUCGCGUGAAGGAAACUGCCCUAUGGGUUUUCAACUUCUUUUGUCAGGGAAGAAUAAGGGGGAUUCAAUUCUCCGAUGCCGGUACCUGACGAAUAAGGAUCGGCUAACUCCGUGCCAGCAGCCGCGGUAAUACGGAGGAUCCGAGCGUUAUCCGGAUUUAUUGGGUUUAAAGGGUGCUUAGGCGGCAUAUUAAGUUAGUGGUCAAAUGGUCCGGCUCAACCGGAUUUCGCCAUUAAAACUGAUGUGCUAGAGAUUAAACGAGGUAGGCGGAAUAAGUUAAGUAGCGGUGAAAUGCAUAGAUAUAACUUAGAACUCCGAUAGCGAAGGCAGCUUACCAGGCUACAUCUGACGCUGAAUCACGAGAGCGUGGGUAUCGAACAGGAUUAGAUACCCUGGUAGUCCACGCCGUAAACGAUGCUCACCGGCUCUAUGCGAUAAGAGUGUAUGGGGCUAAUAGAAAUAAUUAAGUGAGCCACCUGGGGAGUACGUCGGCAACGAUGAAACUCAAAGGAAUUGACGG